UACGUAGGUGCAAGCGUUAAUCGGAAUUACUGGGCGUAAAGCGUGCGCAGGCGGUAAUGUAAGACAGAUGUGAAAAUCCCCGGGCUUUAACCUGGGAAUUGCAUUUGUGACUGCACGGCUAGAGUGUGUCAGAGGGGGGUAGAAUUCCAACGUGUAGCAGUGAAAUGCGUAGAUAUGUGGAGGAAUACCGAUGGCGAAGGCCAGCCCCCUGGGAUAACACUGACGCUCAGGCACGGAAAGCGAUGGGGAGCAAACAGGG
rnacentral:rRNA from 1 species